rnacentral:rRNA from 1 species
GAUGAACGCUGGCGGCGUGCCUCAAACAUGCAAGUCGAGCGGGGCUAUGUAAUAUCGCAAGGUAGAACAUAGCCUAGCGGCGAACGGGUGAGUAACACGUGGGUAACCUGCCUGGAAGACAGGGAUAACGAUUCGAAAGGGUCGCUAAUACCUGAUAAUAUCCUUUCAUCGCAUGGUGAUAGGAAGAAAGGGGAAACCCGCUUUCAGAUGGGCCCGCGUCCCAUCAGCUAGUUGGUAAGGUAAAGGCUUACCAAGGCGACGACGGGUAGCCGGUCUGAGAGGAUGUACGGCCACACUGGGACUGAGAUACGGCCCAGACUCCUACGGGAGGCAGCAGUUGGGAAUCUUAGGCAAUGGACGAAGUCUGACCUAGCGACGCCGCGUGAGGGAAGAAGGGCCUUGGGUUGUAAACCUCUGUCAGUGGGGGAAGAAGUAAGUGACGGUACCCCAAGAGGAAGCCCCUGCUAACUACGGCCAGCAGCCGCGGUAAUAGUACCUAU